rnacentral:rRNA from 1 species
AUUGAACGCUGGCGGCAUGCUUUACACAUGCAAGUCGAACGGUAACAGGCCGCAAGGUGCUGACGAGUGGCGAACGGGUGAGUAAUGCAUCGGAACGUGCCCAGUCGUGGGGGAUAACGCAGCGAAAGCUGCGCUAAUACCGCAUACGAUCUAUGGAUGAAAGCGGGGGACCGUAAGGCCUCGCGCGAUUGGAGCGGCCGAUGUCAGAUUAGGUAGUUGGUGGGGUAAAGGCUCACCAAGCCAACGAUCUGUAGCUGGUCUGAGAGGACGACCAGCCACACUGGGACUGAGACACGGCCCAGACUCCUACGGGAGGCAGCAGCGGGGAAUUUUGGACAAUGGGCGCAAGCCUGAUCCAGCAAUGCUGCGUGCAGGAAGAAGGCCUUCGGGUUGUAAACUGCUUUUGUACGGAACGAAACGGUCCUGGUUAAUACCUGGGGCUAAUGACGGUACCGUAAGAAUAAGCACCGGCUAACUACGUGCCAGCCGCCGCAGUAAAAC